CCUUACUGAAAAGAACUGGAAAAGCAAAACGCUUCCAAACAAACUAUCCUCGCGUUCUGCCAGCCUGCAGACAGCCCUGCAAAAUAAAGAACCAUCAUCCACUUCUUUUUUUCAAGCCUGACGAAAAUGUGAACAAUCCUAAUCAGUCUAUAGGAAGUAUGACCACCUACUGUGAGCUGCACUUCACAGGAGCCAGCACCAUUGAAACACAAGAUUAUUCUUUUUUGACUUGCAAACCUGCAUCCCCUCUGGUGAGGCCGGAUGAAAGUCAAUGGAAGAAAGGGACUCCAGAAGAAAGUAACCCCAGGAAGCAGCCUGGGGAGCCUCCUGCUGCUCUGCAGCCCUCAUGAAGACCGUGUGCUCCCGUGGAGGGCCUGAUAAACAGAGCCCACUGCGGGGGCAUCACCGGCCGUAGGUAAAACACAGAAGUGGCAAAACAGAGUCUGCUACUCAGACGACCGUAACUUCAGCCGUAGUUUCUGCUGACACUGACUUUUAAUCGCUGCGAACAGAUUUAACUUACUGAAAUUAAAAUAUAUCUGUCUUAAAAGCCUGCCAAGUCAGUUCCACCCUUUUCCAAUCGCAGGGAAUCUGAAUCUUGAUUUAGGAUCAGGGUCUUCAAAUCUUCAGAGCCUACUUCGGAGAUAUUUAGCUCCUUUCCGCGUUUAGUUCUCCCUAAAUUCUGGGAGGGACUCGCAACAGGGAAAGAGGAGAAGUGAGGAGUCACACCUUUCAGACGUCUCCAUUAAAUGCGCAAAUAGAAACGUAAAACAAUUCCUUGCCUGACCUCGUUGCAGCUCUGCCUACACCUGGGGCAAAAAUGCACAAUGCGCUUCACAGAAAGGUGUAUUGUCCUUUCAACGACAGCCUUCUGUAGGGCUCUUUCAUCUCAAUCGCUUGUUCCUCUCCAGGCGCAGCAGAGGAAGGGUGGGAGGGAUCCCCCUCAUUUGGGUAACAACUGGCCGCACAUCUCAGCUGAGCACCGGAGAUGGUCUGCCAGAGGGAUAUCAGCAUUUCCACGCGGGCUGCUCAGCCAUCAGAUCCAAAGGAAAACGUUUCAAAACUACCUCUCAUCUCCCUCUUCUCUCUCCGAGGCAGAUCUGGAUCGCCGUAAUUUUCACUCUUUCCUCCCCUCCAUCCCCCCAGGAGGAGAAUAUUACAGCUCCCACCCAGACCUGAAUGUGCAGCGUGCAGAAUCUUGGCCCUUUUCACGUGCUGUGGCCACAGACGGAAAUACUACAGGCCAAGGGCAAGUGUUUCCCUACGCUGACUGCUCAUGCUUGAGGUAUCUGUAGAAAUUCACCCAACGAUAAUGGACUUUGCAGGCACUGUUAUUGCCCUGUGUGCUGCAGCAAGGGAAUGUUUCCUGAGAAUUCUUUUGGACUUUGUUCUCUACAUUGCAGACAUCAGUCGUGAAGCACGAGAAAUCUAAGUGAAUAUCUAUAAGAAAUAAUUUCUCAUUACUGCUAACAACAACAUCAUAGCAAGUAAAUAAAAACAAGCAGUCAAAUCUCUCUUGAUAAAAUGAAGACAGAUAAUGUGAUACCAAUAGCUUCAUUUCUAAAUAACAUCAACUUCUCUAACAAAGAAAAUCGAGGAAUCUUUCCACUUUGCAUUUCAGUUGUCUAACUUGUCGCUGGUUUUCAUAGAACAAAGUAUAUACAAGGAAUAGGAGAAAAGCCUUCCAGAGCAGAACAGGGUCCUUAUGAUGAGUGAUGGAAGAAAAGACACACAACACAUCUGUUUUUACUACAAAAUUACCUAAAUAAAGACACUCAAUUUGCAAAUUGGUUUCAGUUGAGCUUCCAGAGACAGAAGUUAAACCAUAAACCAUCCCUUCAACAUCAAAUGUCUGAAAGAAAGGAAAUGCACAAAGAAACUUCUUCAAAGGCAUUUGAUAAAAGAAAUGAGAGAACUCUGACUUGUUAGAAACUCCUUUGGGUAUUACUGCAGCGACAGAUGAGAAGAUAGGGAAAAUUAUAUAAUUCAUUUACCUGAGUAAUUUCUAUCUGAACUUGGCAUGUCACUAUGCCUCAGAAAUAAGUUAUUGCAAAGGAAUAGGGUCAAAACCAAAGGAAUCAAGGAAUCACAUGUAAUACAAAACUUACCUAAUAACUAAUAUGGGAGAAUAUUUCCUGACAUAUCUAGAGGUAUAAUGUCAUUUUAGAUGGAACCCAAUAGGUAAGCUGGUGCUUUUUUUGUAUAACUCCUCUCCUGGAUGUCAGUGGACCUCGCACCAGAGCACGUGCAGAAAGUUGCCAGGGUGCCCAGAGAAAUAGGGUUGCAUUAAGAGGCUGAAGAGUCAGAAAACUGGGUUGUGACAGAAAAUGGCUACUCUCUAUGAACUGUUGGGAAAGACAGAUGAAUACCAUGAAGAAGGAAAGAAAAAAAAACCAAGUAUGUGAUAUAAACUAAAGCCAAUGUAAAGAGAAGUGUAAACAGGCUUAGCUGGCCAAGGACAACCAGGCUAGACAACAGAAAUGUUAACAAUUUUGAAACUGAUUAAUUCCUCAAGUCUUCCAACAGAUGCCAAAUUCCAUCUCACUUACCACUAAGAAGCAUCUCCUAUAAUUAUCUUCCAUAGAAGGCAAUAAUUAACCAUAUAAAAAACACACAGAAAAAACCCACAUCUACAGUAGCACCGUGGUACUGCCCUCUGCCGCCAUGGAGCAGUCAGAAGAGAACAGCCUCACAGGAUCCUCAGAGGAUCACAUCAGUACAAACUGCAAAGGACCAAGGGGUGAAACAGACUCAAAGAUUAACACACUCAGCAUAUUGAUGUUUGUUUCCCCCCUCCACGUACUGCAAACAGUAAAAAGGACUUUACUGACCAAAACCAAUACCUCAGAUAAAAACUGAGGAGCUGUAAGGCAGCAUUUGGUACCAAGAGCAGAAAUUUAUUCAAUGCAACAACUACAUUUCAGCAAUCAGUUGUCUAGCAGCUGUACUUUUAUGCAUUAAACCCAUUAAUUGCAACCUGGCCUCGUUAGACUAGAAAGGUCAUUAGUGCAAUUAACUGAAUAUGAACAAAUUGCAGGUAGUAAACAGAAGUGAUGUGUAAAUACAAUAUUCAUCAAUAUGAUCUUAAAGAUACUCAUCAGUUUUUCUCCGAGGUUGUUUUGUCAUUGUUCUCUACUGCCAGAUCUGAUAGCAUCUUCUCUGUGUAUCCCAUUAACAUCAAUAAGUGAAGUGAAAGGGGGGGGGACCAAAACAGCUACAGCUGUAAUUUGUCAUCUGCAAAACUCAAUCUUCCUGUGUGAAAAAUUAUAUAGUUAAGGUAGCAACCUAAAUAUGUCUGAGCCUGAUUUCAUUUUAGAUCUUUCAUCAAUUUCUCUUCUCUGUAUUUUCAGAAAAGCUUUAAACGAUUAUGUUGGAUAUUUUUGGUCGACAUUUCCAGAGGAAUUAAGGCUAAAAGCGGCUGCUGAGAUCAGAGCAUCACGUCUGUUUUAGGUAAGAAAAUACCUUCUCUGCUUGGCAGCCAUCUCCCCAGAGUGCUGCGCCCUCCACCUUGCCCUGCUACAGCGGCAGCACACGUUGUAGCUGUUUCUCAGGCAUCUUGGUGCUGAGUCAGUCUGUAACAUCCAGCAUCAGUUAUUCAAAUCUAGGCAUCAUCCUUUGUCUAAAACCAUUCAUGAUGAACGAAGGUGAAUUAAUCUUCCACUGGUUGUGGAUGAACCUUCCAAGUAACUUGAGCAUCACUCUCCAGACAGUCACCUGCUCCAGGAAACAACAUAACCUGCACAAAACACCUAAAACAAUCUGCUUCCUAUAGCAUUUUUCCCAAGUCUAUACUGCAACAACUCACCAGGUCACACUAAUCUGGUUUCAAACCAGGCAGCUGAACCCUGGUUUGUGCAGACAUCUGUAUUGCAGAAAGGCUGUGGUAGGUAGCAUUGCCCUACUUGCUCCCUUAAUUUUCCAUCAGCUCGGUUGCAGGACUUCUGCCUGCCGGGAUUCACAGCGAUUCUGCUAAUCACAAAAUGCCACACAGGCAGAAGACACCUACCCUGACAGCGUGGUUUGGCUCUUACAGCAAAUAAAGUCUCCAGUGGCAGCUCAAGCUGCCCCACUCAGUCAACCGGCAGCUCUGUGAAGCAGAAAGGAUCUCACCUCCAGGAUCACACUGAUCUGUUGGCUACCACCCAGCCUUGCUAAGAAGGGACCAGAAAUGAAGGGCAGCGCUCUCCAUCUGCUUCUGCCUUUGCAGGAAUGUAACCAGAUGACCCUCUGUCAAGACGACCAAAAAACAUCAGUAAAUCAGGGAAGAAAACCAACUCACGCUCAAAGUUUUGUAUAUCAUUAAAACAAAAUGCGAGCAACUACCAAAAUGAACUACUACUAUAAAAAUAUUUGCUUCUUUUUCCAGAAGAGGAAGAAGGAGUUCAGACUGGUAUUCACUGUUUCUCAUCUUUGCUCUCCCCUUUUCCCCCAGUCACGUUCAUGACAAAACAUGAACAAUGCAGUCAGCACGAUCCUUUCACUCAUGCCCUGCACUAGACUAAGGGAAAAUUACCUGGGAAUCUGACAUAGAUAUUAUUUGUAAAUAGGACAUUGUUGAAGUAUUUAAACAACAGGACAAAAUAAGGCUGACACUGACCUAUGGCUUAAUAUGCUCUGUGAGUAGUGGGAGUGUAAUUGGUAGAGUACUACAAAAACUAGAGAAAAACUCCACCAAUCUGACCUCAUAGCCAGCAGACAAAAAAACAACCAACAAAUGGACAGCAUCAUAAUGCCCUGAUUAUAUAAAGAAUAAUAACAGCUUAAAAAAUAUUGCGCUCAUUAUUAACAUUACUAGUAAUGUAAUAGUCAAAGAUGUUUCACUGUAACAGCUCUGCAAUACAAUACAUCCAACGAGUCAGAGUAGACAGAAACAUAACUUUGUUGGGAAAAUACCGUCAGUUCCAAUAGCCAAAUAAAGGUAUUUAUUAUUUAUGCUAUUUUUAUUAUUGAACUACAUGGCAACAUACAAGUUCCAGUCGAAUUCCUAUUUGAACCAUUUCCUCUUUCUGAAAACGCACUGACUGUACCUACCUACGCUUUUCACAGCCAGCAGCCUUAAGACUCAGCUACUAAAAAUGAAUUUUUAUAUUUCUAGAUAUAAACUGUACAGAACAAAUGCACUCCAGAUUUAGAAACCUGACCUGGGUACACAAACAUUACAGAAGCAAGAGAAAAGAACACAUUUUGUGCACACUCCAGAUAACGUUUUCAGAUAAAUAUUGUUGUUACGUAACUCCAAACAGAUGCUCACACAGUACAUUACUCAGCAGAAAGAUGGGCUGAAAGCCACUCUCUCUCCCAGAGCGGUUAUUCCAGCGGGAAUACUGAAAAAACGUUACGUCCAUGAAGCAGGCUUUGCAAAGCCACAGUCUGAAAUGACUCCAUUGUAAAUGCUUGUUCUGUGGAAAUCUGCAGUCACCAGCACAAGUCUAACUUUGGCAUUUACCCUUCAGAGCUCCACAGGCUGAGUAGGACAUAGAUUAAACAGAACUACAAUUGGAAGCAACUCUGGAAGUGCCCAGGUGCUACAGCUACAAUACAUUAACUCUUGUUAUCUCUUCAGCAAUCCCCACCUCUCCAGAAAACUUCGAGGAAAAAAACCAAACCACUCAUUAGCCUUUUUGCCACAGUUGCUAUGUAACUCUGAAACAAUGUAAUUCUGCCUUUAUUACCAAAGCAAGCAAAGGAACAGCACAAGAGUCCACUCUACUCCAACUCACUUUGCCGCAGCUGGAUCACAGAAACUUUCUUCCCAGCUUUAUUCAUGAGCAUCCAUUGGCCUGAGAAUAACUCGUUAAGGGUUCACAUGAUCAAUUUAAUCAUUUUAGAGAAAUACAAAAGGAAAAAAUAUAUAUAUAUCUAUAAACUGACACAAUCUAUUCAGUGGUCUGGUGUAGCAAUGCUUUCUGUAGAGAACAAGGAAUUCCUAGAUCUGCUACUUUGUAAAGCACCACUGCAAUGAGUUCAAAGCUACAAAUAAAUCCUGUGUUUCAACCAUAUGAGAGCUAAGGAACUAAGACUUGGCUUCAACUCUUUCAGCAGCCAGCAACUGCCACCCAGUGAUAUUGAGCAGUGGUGAGCCUGUAACAGGCCAAGUGUGGGCAUGAGAUAUAAGAACAUUUAUCAAAACUGAAACAGAGAAAAGACUGCCUCUCCAAACCCCACCAGUGAUACUAUUAGAUCUUUCUAAGAACUACUUACAUUCCUGGGCAUGUUGUCCACAGGCUUUAGCUAAUAUCCAGCACAGGUGCUAUAUCUAUACAGAACCUUAUGCCACUUGGCGAGGUUACUUUAACACAGUGCAAAGUUGUCUGUUCUUCCUCAGGUUGUUUGUUCUUCAGGAGACUGGCCAAGCUCUGUGUAGGCUUUUUUUUUCCCCUUUAUUCUUAAACCUUUCAUUUUCUUUCCAACAUAAACGCAAACUGUACAUAACAUUGAAACACUGUUACAUCAGAGCAACAUAGAACAAGAUUACACUCAAUUGAGCACUAGUUUUAAAAUACUAUAAAAAAUAAAUGUGCCACUAGCAAUUGUCUCACAGAAUGAGGCCUGUUUGAGGUGACAGCUGCUUUUGUAUCAGCCACAUAAGGAAGAAACAGAAGAAAAAAUAGCAAGAGAUUCCAACAGAAAUUUCACAGUGCAUCUAGGAGUUAUCUUGUAUUUUAGAAAUCAAUCUCUUGCACGUUCACAUGCUCUACUGAAAAUUCAUGAAAAAAAGUAUUUCCAACUCGAUCUUCUCCUCAAUAUUUUAAAUGGUGCUCAAUGUUAAUGAUAGAUGCUGUCAGUAUGUACAAAGGAAAAGAUGAAACAUGAGUACAAAGGAAUUUGUCUUUAUGGCAUUUGCAUACCAGCAGAUGCUUCUCCUAAGAUUAAUUUACAGCUAUCUUCAUACUUUGAUGUUAUCUCAAUUCAUGAAGCCUGCAUUUGCUGUGUACUUGUAUGGAAUAAUUAGUUUACCUUAGUUUAAACAGUUAAUGUUUAUACAGCGACUCAACUGAGAUGAGGGAAGGGGAAGUUUAUGCAUGUUAUCAUAAUAGAAAAGAGAUUUCACUUGUCUGACUGCCAAAGAGCCAAGAAAGGUAAGUGACAAAAGCACCAGCUUCGAUUUUUUUAACAUAAAUUCAGACAUUUUAGUAUGUUUCUCAGAAAAGUCACUUGAGUAAGUACUUCAUAAAUAUUAUGGCACCUGGACUCUCCUAAGCAGGUAUUUAGCUACCUAAGCCACCCAGGCCAAAAAAAAAAACCCAAAACCUAAAGUUAACCAAUUCUGUAAUGAAACACUCUUGUCCCAACCUUGAAAAUCCGAAUUUUCCUGGAAGUUGCGCCAAAUUACAAUUGUUCAUGUUUCUUAUCACUUGCGUAAGUUGCCUUUGACAAAUGUCAUGUUACACUUUAAGUUUAGAUUUCUGAUUACUUGCAAACAUCAAGGAAAGGCAAUCCUACCACUUCCAACAAGAACUGUGUCCUGCGCCUUAGGAACUAUAACACAGUAUAGGUACUUAUGUUUCCAUUAUUUUGCUGGACUAGAGUAUUUGAAGUAAUUACACAUACUAGGAAAGAAGUCCAAAUUUAAUUAGCGUUGGCUUACAAUGGUAGCAUUUUCUCCAUGUAAGGCAUUAUUCUGACACUUACUGGCCUGGCAUCCAACCAUACAUAUUAAUACACCACAUUUGUUGUUAAAAAGAAGCAUAUAUAUUAAUCCAAAAGGUAAGAACAAUUAAAGAAACACAAAUGACAAACAUUAAAACAGGCCCAUAUAUUUUCAUAUAAAUCUCACAACCCUACCAGUACUUCGGUAGGUUUCUAUUGCUUUCUUAACUCAUACUUAACUCCGAACUACUGUAUAUUAUGAAGCUUGAAUACAAGCAGCUUUUGGGAAGUUACAUUUGGAAAGGGAAAAGAAAGUCGUGACAAGUAAAAAAAAAA